CCUACGGGAGGCAGCAGUCGAGAAUCAUUCACAAUGGGGGAAACCCUGAUGGUGCGACGCCGCGUGGGGGAAUGAAGGUCUUCGGAUUGUAAACCCCUGUCAUGUGGGAGCAAAUUAAAAAGAUAGUACCACAAGAGGAAGACACGGCUAACUCCGUGCCAGCAGCCGCGGUAAUACAGAGGUGUCAAGCGUUGUUCGGAAUCACUGGGCGUAAGGCGUGCGUAGGCUGUUUCGUAAGUCGUGUGUGAAAGGCGCGGGCUCAACCCGAGGACGGCACAUGAUACUGCGAGACUAGAGUAAUGGAGGGGUAACCGGAAUUCUUGGUGUAGCAGUGAAAUGCGUAGAUAUCGAGAGGAACACUCGUGGCGAAGGCGGGUUCCUGGACAUUAACUGACGCUGAGGCACGAAGGCCAGGGGAGCGAAAGGGAUUAGAUACCCCAGUAGUC
rnacentral:rRNA from 1 species